GGGAACUCUCCCCUUCGAUUUGAGAGUGGCCGCUUUGAUCGGUGACACGGCUCUCACCGGAGUGGUGGGAGCCCAUGAAGGGGACACCGAUCAUCCAAGACAAGCAAGGAGAGGGCACGGAUUGCUCCGUCGGCCCCGGCGUCUCCUCCGUCGGCCCCGGCGUCUCCUCCGUCGGCCCCGGCGUCUCCUCCGUCGGCCCCGGCGUCUCCUCCGUCGGCCCCGGCGUCUCCAGCGCCCUUCGGAUUUGACCAUUUGCGAUGUCCUCUAACAACGCUAACGCAGCCAUUUUUAAAACAAUUUUCCUCAUCCAUUGCGCAUGCUUUUAUAGCCACCCAUAUAAUUGCAAGAUUGUGCUGCGUGCUGCUACACCUGUGUGGC
ensembl:lncRNA